UUCCGGUUGAUCCUGCCGGAGGUCACUGCUAUUGGGAUUCGAUUAAGCCAUGCGAGUCGAGAGGGUUCGGCCCUCGGCUGACGGCUCAGUAACACGUGGAUAAUCUGCCCUAAGGUGGAGGAUAACCUCGGGAAACUGAGAAUAAUACUCCAUAGAUCUAGAAGGCUGGAAUGCAUCUAGAUUAAAAGCUCUGGCGCCUUAGGAUGAGUCUGCGGACUAUCAGGUUGUAGUCAGGGUAAAGACCUGACUAGCCUACGACGGAUACGGGUUGUGAGAGCAAUAACCCGGAGACGAUAUCUGAGACACGAUAUCGGGCCCUACGGGGCGCAGCAGGCGCGAAAACUUCACAAUGUGCGAAAGCACGAUGAGGGAAUCCCAAGUGCUGGUUCGAAAGAGUCAGCUGUUUCUUUGUCUAAAAAACAGAGAGAGUAAGAGCUGGGUAAGACGGGUGCCAGCCGCCGCGGUAAUACCUGCAGCUCGAGUGGUGGUCGCUAUUAUUGGGCCUAAAACGUCCGUAGCCGGUCUAAUAAAUGCCUGGGUAAAUCGUAUAGCUUAACUAUACGAAUUCCGGGUAGACUGUUAAACUUGAGACCGGGAGAGGCUAGAGGUACUCCUGGGGUAGAGGUGAAAUUCUGUAAUCCUAGGGGGACCACCAGUGGCGAAGGCGUCUAGCUAGAACGGGUCUGACGGUGAGGGACGAAGCCCUGGGGCGCGAACCGGAUUAGAUACCCGGGUAGUCCAGGGUGUAAACGCUGCUUGCUUGAUGUUAGUUGGGCUCCGAGCCCAACUAGUGUCGGAGAGAAGUUGUUAAGCAAGCUGCCUGGGAAGUACGGUCGCAAGACUGAAACUUAAAGGAAUUGGCGGGGGAGCACAGCAACGGGUGGAGCGUGCGGUUUAAUUGGACUCAACGCCGGU
rnacentral:rRNA from 1 species